rnacentral:rRNA from 1 species
AUGGCGAAUCAGCGGGAGCAGCAGCAGGCCUCGCCCUCGCUGCCUCGGCCGCCGAUGCCGUCGAAGCCGCGGCACAUGUCGGAGCUCUACGGAGGCAUGCGCUUCGACCCCAACGGCCGCUGCCUCGUCCGGACCUACCUCGCCCCCAAGGCGAUCCGCGGCCGCCUCCCAAACCUCGAGAUCAUGGACGUCAUCCCCGACGACGUCGACGUGUACGGCACCCGCCCGGAGGCGCUCCCCUUCCACCGCUGCAACCGGGGCGCCAGCGGCAAGGUCUGGGGCCACUUCUUCACGACGCGGCCCGCGGCCGCGGCAUCGGGCGGCCCGGGCAGCUACGUCCGGGUCGUGCCGGGAGGGCUGUGGGUGCGCUACGACGAGGAGAAGGCGUACGCCGACUCGGACGGGGACGUGCUCGGGUACCGGUGCCGCUUCGCGUUCCACGGCGAGGACGGCAAGCUGACGGCGUGGCGGAUGAAGGAGUUCCGCCUCAACGAGGGCGCCGCGGCCUACCGCGGCGUCGCGUUCCACCCCGUCGCCAAGAACCUGGUGGCCUGGAAGGUGUACAACGACGUGGAGGAGCCGCUGAGCGACGACGAGGGCGACGACGAGGACGAGGACGAGGAUGACGAAGCGGAGGAGAUGGAGGUGGACGAUCCGGUUGCCGCCGCUGCGUGCACGGAGGACGACCUGACACAGCGGCAGGACAAGAAGAAGAAACAGAAGCUGCGGUAG